rnacentral:rRNA from 1 species
UACAGAGGGUGCAAGCGUUAAUCGGAAUUACUGGGCGUAAAGCGUGCGUAGACGGUUACAUAAGUCGGGUGUGAAGCCCCGGGCUCAACCUGGGAAUUGCAUUCGAGACUGCGUAGCUAGGGUGCGGAAGAGGGAAGCGGAAUUUCCGGUGUAGCCGGUGAAAUGCGUAGAUAUCGGAAGGAACACCAGUGGCGAAAGCGGCUUCCUGGUCCAGCACCGACGUUCAGGCACGAAAGCGUGGGGAGCAAACAGG